rnacentral:snRNA from 1 species
AUACUAACCUUGCGUAGGGUACACCGCGAUCAGGAAGGCGGUUGCCUCGGGCUGACUCCGGCCAUUGCACUGAGGCCGGGGAAGUCGGUCUGUGACUUUCCUUGGAUUGUCGUGCGUGGAAUUUUUGCUAGUUGGACUUGCGUGCUGCGCAGUCCAU